CUCUGACUUAGCAACUCUAAAUGUAACUCCCAAUUUCUCUCAGUGCCCGACUCCUCUGGCCCCUCGUACGAGUGCAUGCGACUUAAUUACGCGUGCCAAGCCGAGCGGCUUUUGUUAUUAUCAUUCAGUCAGCCGGUUACCGGUUCCACUAACCACCGUGCCCUCUGCACCCGUCUCUACGCCAGCUUUCGACCACCUCCCGUGGUAUCCUUUGGUCCUCCUUUGUUGCCCUCUGCCCAUUGAUGAUAAUGUUUGAGCGUCGACGCUGAGCAUUGGCUGCGC
rnacentral:lncRNA from 1 species